rnacentral:piRNA from 1 species
UCUGAGACUGUGAGAAUUCGGAGAGC